CUGAUGCAUUGAAUGAACUCAAUUCGAUUAUGAGCAGGAUGUCCAGCUAAUAAAUAUAUGUAACCCCAGCUCAAAUAAGGCACAUCCAUGUAAGAUAAUGUAAUUUAAUUGGGACUACAUACAUUCAUUAGAUGGAAAUCCUGUCCAUAAUUGAAUUGAGCUCAUCCAAUGAAUCAUUUAUUUGGACAAUU